rnacentral:rRNA from 1 species
AACGAACGCUGGCGGCAUGCCUAACACAUGCAAGUCGAACGAGAUCUUCGGGUCUAGUGGCGCACGGGUGCGUAACGCGUGGGAAUCUGCCCUUUGGUUCGGAAUAACAGUUGGAAACGACUGCUAAUACCGGACGAUGACGAAAGUCCAAAGAUUUAUCGCCAGAGGAUGAGCCCGCGUAGGAUUAGCUAGUUGGUGUGGUAAAGGCGCACCAAGGCGACGAUCCUUAGCUGGUCUGAGAGGAUGAUCAGCCACACUGGGACUGAGACACGGCCCAGACUCCUACGGGAGGCAGCAUUGGGAAAUAUUGGACAAUGGGCGAAAGCCUGAUCCAGCAAUGCCGCGUGAGUGAUGAAGGCCUUAGGGUUGUAAAGCUCUUUUACCCGGGGUGAUAAUGACAGUACCGGGAGAAUAAGCUCCGGCUAACUCCGUGCCAGCCGCCGCCGUAA